UAAUCUUUUCUCAACAUUUUCUCUUUCGGUAAUUCUUUUUAUCCUGCGAUGACGCUUUUCAUUCUCGCUUCCUCAAUCUUCAUCAAAUCUAAACGCAAGCCCUAACCCCUUUCCAGAAAUUGAUCAAUUGCUCAGAAGAAUCUCAAAUCAAUGGCAUGUUAUGACCUUUUGAAACCCUAAUCGUCGAUUCAACCCCAUACAACUCGUAAUUCCACCAUAGGAAAACAAAUGGGAUCCUACCAAAAAUAGUCUCGAUCUUCCGCCAAUUGAAUUCGAGAUUAAACAAUCUUCCAAUGUUGCCGCCACUGAAUUUGGACUCAAUCUCUGACAACCAUCCGUCUCGAGAUUUACAGAAGCAAAUUUGCGUAUGAGAAAUUGAAUACAAACUUGGAAAAUCUGCAUGAUGAUGAGGGUUUUGAUGCGUUUAAUGAUGUUCCAGUUGAGGAAUUCGGUGCUGCGUUAUUGGCUGGAUAUGGAUGGAAAAAAGGAAUGAAAAUUAAUAGGAAUGCCAAGGAAGAUACAAAAUUGCACGAAUUUAAAGGAUGGAAUUCGAGAGAUGGAUUAGCAUUUCCUUACGCAAAUUGAUAAACGCGAAAUCGAUCAUGUGAAGAUGAUGAUUACAUUUGCACUAAAACGGCCCAUGUGGAAUCCAGUAUACCCUUCCUUUACUGUGUCGACAAGUCCACCAGUGGAGGCUACCACAGGCACCUAAGUAAAAAUGUGUGGGCAGAAAGAGCAAAACGUACUGCCAAGGCUGGGGGAAGUCCUCCAAGGACAUCACCAAGACCUCCUGUUUUACUCCAUGGUGCAACUUCUGCUGCGAUAAACACCACAUUCAUCCCACUUCUGAUAAAAGGUGGGUGAAGGAAGAAGAUUUGAUCAAAUAUAGAGAACAAAGGUUUAUGCGUGAUUAUGGAAGAAGGAAAUGUAUGGGAAGAAGAAGAUUAAUGGAAGAAGAUGGUAAGAAGAAGAAGAUGGAUGAAGAAGAAGACAAGGGUAAAAAUGAAAAUUUUCAACUUAAUUUGAGGUAUGGAUGAUGAGCAAACUUUAGCUUCUGGCAUUUAGAACUUAAGAAAUCACAUUACUAUAUUUGGGAAGGUAUUGAUGAUGUACAUGGAGGAUUUAAAUUUAAUCCAACUUUUUCAAUUUUUGAUUUUUAGUUGAAUUUAAUGGUGUAAUUCUCUGGGUCAUGCAAAAUUUAAAUUUAACCCAGCUUACAAUCUUUCGGGGUGUAUUAGUGUUUUUGAUAUGAUGUAAGCUGGUAUUAGUUAGCGUUAAAUCUAAUUUAAAUCUGUAUUAAGUCUGAUAUAAGUAGGUAUUAAGUUUAAUAUAAGUUGGCAUUAUGUAUAAUGUAAGUUGGCAUUAAGUAUGAUGUAAGUUGGCAUUAGGUCUAAUGUAAAUUGACAUUUUAAUCUGAUAUAAUUUGGGAUUAUGUUUGUUGUAUAUUGACAUUAUAUAUGUUAUAGGUUGGCAUUAUAAUUGAUAUAAGUUGGCAUUAAUUUGAUAUAAUUGGGUAUUAAGUAUGAUAUAAGUGGAUUUUAAGUCUAAUAUAAAUUGGCAUUGAGUCUGAUGUAAGUUAGUAUUAAGUUGAUGUAAGCUGACAUUUAAUCUGAUGUAAGUUGAGAUUUUGAUUGUUGUAAGUUGACAUUAUAUAUGUUAUAGGUUGGCAUUAUAAUUGUUAUAAGUUGUCAUUAGUCUGAUGUAAGUUGACAUUACUUCUGAUAUAAGUGAGUAUUAAGUCUGAUAUAAGUGAAUUUUAAGUCUAAUAUAAAUUGACAUUGAGUCUGAUGUAUUUGGCAUUAAGUUGAUGUAAGCUGGCAUUAGGUUUAAUGUAAGUUGGAUUUAAAUCUAUUGUAAGUUUGGUUUUUCUUAAUCUAUAUUUAUAUGAUAUUUAAGUUUGGUUUUAAAUCUAUUGUAAUAUUACAUUUAUGAUUAUUCUUGUUAAUAUUUGUUUAUGUCAUUUAAUGCUAUUUUUUAUGAUUGUGUUAUAUACAAAGGAUUGACAAAGAGAUCUAUACUAAUUGUAAAUCACAUCUCUUCU